UACGUAGGGGGCAAGCGUUGUCCGGAUUUAUUGGGUUUAAAGGGUGCGUAGGCGGUCUUAUAAGUCAGUGGUGAAAUACGGCAGCUCAACUGUCGAGGUGCCAUUGAUACUGUAGGACUUGAGUACAGACGAGGUAGGCGGAAUUGACGGUGUAGCGGUGAAAUGCUUAGAUAUCGUCAAGAACACCGAUAGCGAAGGCAGCUUACUAGGCUGUAACUGACGCUGAGGCACGAAAGUGUGGGGAUCAAACAGG
rnacentral:rRNA from 1 species